rnacentral:rRNA from 1 species
UGAGGAAUAUUGGUCAAUGGACGCAAGUCUGAACCAGCCAUGCCGCGUGCAGGAUGACGGCUCUAUGAGUUGUAAACUGCUUUUGUACGAGGGUAAACCUACUUACGUGUAAGUAGCUGAAAGUAUCGUACGAAUAAGGGUCGGCUAACUCCGUGCCAGCAGCCGCGGUAAUACGGAGGACCCGAGCGUUAUCCGGAUUUAUUGGGUUUAAAGGGUGCGUAGGCGGUUUUAUAAGUUAGAGGUGAAAUCUCGGCGCUCAACGUCGAAACAGCCUCUGAUACUGUAGGACUAGAGUGUAGUUGCGGAAGGCGGAAUGUGUGGUGUAGCGGUGAAAUGCUUAGAUAUCACACAGAACACCGAUUGCGAAGGCAGCUUUCCAAGCUAUUACUGACGCUGAGGCACGAAAGCGUGGGGAUCAAACA